AUUAGGAAUCUUGCGCAAUGGGGGCAACCCUGACGCAGCGACGCCGCGUGCGGGAUGAAGGCAUUCGUGUCGUAAACCGCUUUUUACGGGGAAGAAGAAUUUGACGGUACCCGUCGAAUAAGCCCCGGCUAACUACGUGCCAGCAGCCGCGGUAAUACGUAGGGGGCGAGCGUUGUCCGAAGUUACUGGGCGUAAAGCGCGCGUAGGCGGUCAUUUAAGUUCGGGGUGAAAGGUUCAACGCUCAACGUGAACAGUGCCUUGAAUACUGGGUGACUUGAGUUCGGGAGAGGGCAGUGGAAUUCCUGGUGUAGCGGUGAAAUGCGUAGAUAUCAGGAGGAACACCGAUGGCGAAGGCAGCUGCCUGGCCUAGAACUGACGCUGAGGUGCGAAAGCGUGGGGAGCGAACA
rnacentral:rRNA from 1 species